AAUUUUUGAAGAUAAAAAUGGGGAAAAAAAACUUAUAACAGUAUAAGUUGUUUAUAUUAAUUUAAAGGUUGAAUAACAUGGGGCUAUAUAUAUAUCUAUUAGUAUUUAACUUGGAAAAUAAUUUUAAAAUCUAAAAUGAUAUUAAAAAGUAUUCAAAACAAAGUUGUUGGGAAUGACAACCACAAAUCUCGAAAUGAUUAGUUUUCAUGAUAUGUAAAAAGCGAAUAUAAACAGUAAAAUGAUUAGUGAUUGACAGUAAAGGAUAGGUAAGCUUACCAUGAAAAUAGCCGGAUCGAGAUCACGGAAUUCGCUUUUGUUUACGCUUAUGAAUCUUCAGUUGCCCGAUUACGUACUGAAUGAUUUCUUUCGUGGUGGCUUUCCUUCCUUCCUUUCUGUUCCAAAUCUGAAAAGUAAAAGAAGAAUAAAAGAGGAUCACUAAUGGCUGUUCUUUACCCCCAUACAUGCCUAGCCUAGUUAUGUUGCUAUAGGUAUAGCUAGUAUGCAGAAGGAAAAGGGCCGAAAGGGGCACUACAAAUUCGAAAGCAGUGCUAUGUACGGAGGGGGACUGGAUUAGCACCUAAUCCAUUUGGUGCCAAACAUCAUCUGAGAGAGCAGCAUUUGAAUAGAAACACAAAAUUGUGCUCAAGUGGGUCCUUUAUACUAGUCACCUUAGGUGCCUGCUGCACCUUUCUUGCAUCCAAUUGCACAACCCGUAAAUUCAACCCCAAUAUAUCAACUCUCUCUCUACCCCUCUCUCUUCAUUGCUCACUUGUGCCUGUAUCUGCAGAUAUGUGGCUAUAUCCAUUAACACAUUUGUAUCCAAAUUCAUGAUGAAACUAAGGAUUAAUACGUUACAUAUGUUAAUAAGAACAUAUUUUGCAGUGCUCCUAGCAAAGUCUUGUUGUAAGAUAAGUACCAUGUUUCACUGCUAGGAAGUUUUAUGAAGUAAGUAUUAUCUUGGGUAAAUCUUCAUCAAAAGGAAUCGAACCAUAAAAAUUGUAAUAGGUGUUGGAUAAAAUACGUUAGCGAACAAAAUAAUUAAUUAUAAAUAAACACAUAUGAAAUAAAAUAUAAAUAGAAUGAUUUAUAAUUAAUUUAUCAAAUACAAAAAUCAAAUAAAAAGUUGAAAUAAAGUAGAAUCAAGAUUUCACGAAAAGUCGGGGCCUGUGAAACACAGUUUCCUUGAGGCAAAUUCGGUCGCUCCGACAGUACUUGGAGAAAUGUUGGUCGAAUGUUUCCCAGGAUACAACAGCAACAAUGAUCAGAGUAGUAGCACCUCUACAACGAUCGAACAAACAAACUUUUUCUUUUUCUAUCACUGGAAUAUUGUAAAAAUACGGAGAGGCAAAAGAAGAGUUUUGAAAUGAACAGAAUUUCAGUAUAGGAAAUUAUUUGAAUGUGUGUGCA
rnacentral:lncRNA from 1 species